AGGCGGGCGAAUGGCGACACCGGGGACGGGGCCGAGGGAGGCUCCGCAGCUUCUGCAAGGCGGGACGCUGUGGCCGUGCCCCGUGCUUCCAUGCAGAGGAGGGCUGUUUUUCAGGAGGAAAUAAUUUCCCACAUGGUGAUCAUAUAAACCACAAAGUAAAGUAACACCAUCAACGUGACAUCAUCAAUGCACCAAAGCCUCUCAUUGUCUUCAAAGAGUUCUGUGCCUCUUGAAAACACAACAGUUUGUGUAUGUUUCCAGAUGGCAAGGAGUGCUGAGGACAUCAGCAGCUGGGUCAGUCACUCAAGCUAGAGGAGCAGAAAAUAAUUGAGAAGUCUCUGGCUGACUCGUGAUGUUUCUUCUUUCGGUUUUCAAAGUGCUUUGAAGGCAGGCAUGAGUCUCUACAGGUUCUCUCCAAUAAUGUGGCACAUGAAAUGCUCCUCUCUUGGCUUACAGAGGCCAAUGCAUUCUGCUAAAAGCACUAGUCUUGAGAUUUGUCUCUUCGCACUUUACAAGAAUAAAGUGUGUAUUUCCACAUCA